UCAAUGUUUCGAAAACUGCACUGAACUAGAUUGAUGGUCGAACCGGUCCGACGAGCUGAGUCCGAUUAUAUCCAAACUUCAGAUUUGAGAUAAACCGUUAAAAUCGUCCAAAAACCAAUAAAACCGGUGAUGCAGAUCAAUCUAAAAAGAAGUUUUCAAAAUUUACUCAUAAUCGAUAUAUUAAAUGGUAGUCAAUGUUAAAUGUUUUUAAUUGGUUUGUUUCCACUUUGAACAGUUUACGAUGUAAAUUCAAUUUCACAUACUCUUAACAUGAUGAUGAAAUUCAAUUUCAUAUACUCUUACUAUAUAUUGAUACUAGUAUAAGAAAUGCGCUUUGAGCAGGGUGA
rnacentral:lncRNA from 1 species